CCUGUCGGUGUAACUGGCAUGUCGCGGCAUGUCCUGUCGGUGGUGAACGGGAUCCCCGGUACUGUUUAGACUUAACCGUCGAAGCAUGUAUCGUGUGUGUUUCCGUUUGCCGAUCUCUCCUACUCCGGUGCUCUUAAACGAGUGUCGAGGUAGGCCGACACGUUCACUUUGAACAAAUUAGAGUGCUUAAAGCAGGCUGAAAUAUCUGCCUGAAUAGUGGUGCAUGGAAUGAUAAAACAGGACCUCGGUUCUAUUUUGUUGGUUUUAGGAAUAUGAGGUAAUGAUCAAUGUGGACUGGCGGGGGCAUUCGUAUUGCGACGUUAGAGGUGAAAUUCUUGGAUCGUCGCAAGACGCACUAGAGCGAAAGCAUUUGCCAAGUAUGUCUUAAUUGAUCAAGAACGAAAGUUAGAGGUUCGAAGGCGAUCAGAUACCGCCCUAGUUCUAACCAUAAACGAUGCCAGCCAGCGAU
rnacentral:rRNA from 1 species